rnacentral:rRNA from 1 species
UACAGAGGUCCCAAGCGUUGUUCGGAUUCACUGGGCGUAAAGGGCGCGUAGGCGGCGUGACAAGUCACUUGUGAAAUCUCCGGGCUUAACUCGGAACGGUCAAGUGAUACUGUCGUGCUAGAGUACAGAAGGGGCAACUGGAAUUCUCGGUGUAGCGGUGAAAUGCGUAGAUAUCGAGAGGAACACCUGCGGCGAAGGCGGGUUGCUGGGCUGAUACUGACGCUGAGGCGCGAAAGCCAGGGGAGCGAACGGG